rnacentral:rRNA from 1 species
GUCUACGGCGAUGCCACCCUAAACAACCCAAUCCUGUCUGAUCUCGGAAGCUAAGCAGGGUCGGGCCUGGUUAGUACUUGGAUGGGAGACCACCUAGGAAGACCAGGUGCUGCCAGUG